AUUGAACGCUGGCGGCAUGCCUUACACAUGCAAAUCGAACGGUAACGGGCCUUCGGGUGCCGACGAGUGGCGAACGGGUGAGUAAUACAUCGGAACGUGCCCGAUCGUGGGGGAUAACGAGGCGAAAGCUUUGCUAAUACCGCAUACGAUCUACGGAUGAAAGCAGGGGACCGCAAGACCUUGCGCGGACGGAGCGGCCGAUGGCAGAUUAGGUAGUUGGUGGGAUAAAAGCUUACCAAGCCGACGAUCUGUAGCUGGUCUGAGAGGAUGAUCAGCCACACUGGGACUGAGACACGGCCCAGACUCCUACGGGAGGCAGCAGUGGGGAAUUUUGGACAAUGGGCGCAAGCCUGAUCCAGCCAUGCCGCGUGCAGGAUGAAGGCCUUCGGGUUGUAAACUGAUUUUGUACGGAACGAAAAGCCUUCUUUUAAUACAGGAGGGUCAUGACGGUACCGUAAGAAUAAGCACCGGCUAACUACGU
rnacentral:rRNA from 1 species